rnacentral:rRNA from 1 species
AACGAACGUUAGCGGCGCGCUUAACACAUGCAAGUCGUGCGAGAAAGGGCUUCGGCCCCGGUAAAGCGGCGCGCGGGUGAGUAACACGUAGGUAAUCUACCCCGAGGUGGUGGAUAACCUUCCGAAAGGAGGGCUAAUACAGCAUAAGACCACGGUUCCGGAGACGGGCUUGAGGUCAAAGCCGGCCUCUUCAUGAAAGCUGGCGCCAUGGGAUGAGCCUGCGGCCCAUCAGGUAGUUGGUAGGGUAAUGGCCUACCAAGCCUAAGACGGGUAGCUGGUCUGAGAGGAUGAUCAGCCAGACUGGAACUGAGACACGGUCCAGACGCCUACGGGAGGCAGCAGUGGGGAAUCUUGCGCAAUGGGCGAAAGCCUGACGCAGCGAGGCCGCGUGAGUGAUGAAGGCCCUCGGGUUGUAAAGCUCUGUGGAGGGGGACGAAUAAGUGUUGGCUAAUAUCCAGCAUGAUGACGGUACCCCUUUAGCAAGCACCGGCUAACUCUGUGCCAGCAGCCGCAGUAAAAC